GGAUAAAAAUCUCAGGACUAGGAGAGCCAGGGGCCCUGUUCCUUGAUUCCUUUGGGCGACACCUACUGAGGUGUCCCACCGCUGGCUGCUCCUCAGUACCCAAGUCUAGCGCAAUCCUUGCUCCCUGAAAUUGUACCUUGAUCCACUCAGCUAAAUCUGUGAAAAGCCCUCGGCAUCCUUCUCACCCAAGCACCC
rnacentral:lncRNA from 1 species